GGUGGUAAUGCCGGAUGUUCCACAUGAUCGCAUGUGAUUGUGGGAAAGAUUCUAUCGGCGUGGGAUGGGGUCGCGUCCUAUCAGCUUGUUGGUGAGGUAACGGCUCACCAAGGCUUCGACGGGUAGCCGGCCUGAGAGGGCGACCGGCCACAUUGGGACUGAGAUACGGCCCAGACUCCUACGGGAGGCAGCAGUGGGGAAUAUUGCACAAUGGGCGCAAGCCUGAUGCAGCGACGCCGCGUGAGGGAUGGAGGCCUUCGGGUUGUAAACCUCUUUUGUUUGGGAGCAAGCCUUCGGGUGAGUGUACCUUUCGAAUAAGCGCCGGCUAACUACGUGCCAGCAGCCGCGGUAAUACGUAGGGCGCAAGCGUUAUCCGGAUUUAUUGGGCGUAAAGGGCUCGUAGGCGGCUCGUCGCGUCCGGUGUGAAAGUCCAUCGCUUAACGGUGGAUCUGCGCCGGGUACGGGCGGGCUGGAGUGCGGUAGGGGAGACUGGAAUUCCCGGUGUAACGGUGGAAUGUGUAGAUAUCGGAAAAGAAACACCA
rnacentral:rRNA from 1 species